rnacentral:rRNA from 1 species
AGUGAACGCUGGCGGUAGGCCUAACACAUGCAAGUCGAACGGCAGCACAGUAAGAGCUUGCUCUUACGGGUGGCGAGUGGCGGACGGGUGAGGAAUACAUCGGAAUCUACUUUUUCGUGGGGGAUAACGUAGGGAAACUUACGCUAAUACCGCAUACGACCUACGGGUGAAAGCAGGGGAUCUUCGGACCUUGCGCGAUUGAAUGAGCCGAUGUCGGAUUAGCUAGUUGGCGGGGUAAAGGCCCACCAAGGCGACGAUCCGUAGCUGGUCUGAGAGGAUGAUCAGCCACACUGGAACUGAGACACGGUCCAGACUCCUACGGGAGGCAGCAGUGGGGAAUAUUGGACAAUGGGCGCAAGCCUGAUCCAGCGAUACCACGUGGGUGAAGAAGGCCUUCGGGUUGUAAAGCCCUUUUGUUGGGAAAGAAAAGCAGCAGGUUAAUACCCCGCUGUUCUGACGGUACCUGAAGAAGAAGCACCGGCUAACUACGUG